CUUUACUAUAACCUGGUAUUGGCAUCUGGUGUAUAAUGCGUAGGAUAGGUGGUAGACUUUGAUGUAUCCCUCCAGGGGGCUACGGAGUCUUUCGUGAAAUACCACCCUUUAUUUAUUAGAUGUCUAACUUGACGCCGUUAACCGGGUCAAAGACAGUGCUAGGGGGUUAGUUUGACUGGGGCGGUCCCCUCCCAAAAGAUAACGGAGGGUUGCGAAGAUUCUCUCAGACCGGUCGGUAAUCGGUCGUUGAGCACAUGGGUAUAAGAGAGUUUUACUGUAAGACCUACAAGUCGAGCAGUUGCGAAAGCAGGCCCAAGUGAUCCGGUAGUUGGUAAUGGAACCGCUAUCGCUUAAAGGACAAAAGGUA
rnacentral:rRNA from 1 species